ACAAAAGUCCUGGGAAAAAGAAAGCAGUAGACUUAAAUAAGGUUCAGUAAAUAUCUGAUGUAAAAAUCAACUUAAUUUUAAGAGAUAAAUAUGUGCAAUUUCAGCACGUCUUUAAUUAUCUGUAACAUACUUUAGCUAACUGUGUAUAAGUUGCAAAAGUAAUGGGGUUUUUUUGCAUCUAUUCACACAUGCUUAUUAUAACACACUGAACCAGGAAGAAAACUUGUAGAACUUGGCCGUGUUUGAAUGGUAAAUAUAAACUGUUGAAGGUAAAGACAGUACAUGUAUAACUUCAAGAAUGUAAGUUAUAGUGCCUUUGAGUCCCCCUGUUCAGUAUGUUUUAGGCCAGGCUCUGCAAACACUCCUAGAUACAACUUGGAUAGCACAACUAACCUGACUAUAUAUAGGAAUAUUAAUCACAGCAACAACCCCCUCAAAACUGGGUGACGAAUUAAAGGACAUUAAAAGCUCUCUUUUUGCAUUCUACAGUCUCUUUUUCUUACUUUCUAUGUACUUAGCCUAUGAAUGCAUUCUUUAAUUUGACUGUACAUUUUUAGAGGAAAGAUUGGAUUUGAUUUUCUGUUUACAUUAGCACCUAAGAGGAGGACCUCAUUCAUUGUUGCAACAUUGUAUCAAUACACGAAACCAUUGAUGCGAGUGAUACAAUGUACACUAGAUCGAGCUGACAGUAGUUCUUUUCCCUCACACUUUCAGGUUGAUGCCAUUCAAAGAAUCAGUGCUCUCUGGGACUUCAGCUCUUCCUGUAAAAAUGUUUUGAAUAAUCUUAUCCAGCAAAUUAGUGAAAAAAUUCAUUGGGUUCACUGGGACAUCAGUGGGAACAGUAAUAGGCCUUUUAAUAUUAUAGUUUAAUGAAUAUCCACGUUUUCUCUCAGGAUUUAGCUGCUGUAUUUGAGAGCUUCUUUGGGCCCUCCAGCUCUUACACAAUAACCACACCCUGGUUUUACAAACAAGACCAUUCUGCUUAACCUCCUUCAUGGUGCCCACUCAGACCUUCUGGCCUCUGAUGUCAGAAAUCACUUCCCAGUGUUUUAUACCCCAGUCCAAAGUCUAAGUAUCUUGCACAGCUGGGCAAGAGGCAGUCAGACACAACUAGUUUGCAACAUUGUUGUACUCAACUAUGACAGAGUGCAGCUGGGACAGAGCCAGUGUUAAAUGUCCACAAGUUUCUUAGGCCCCAGCAGUGCCGUGGAAAUCCCCAACAUCAAAUGAAUCCACAUGUCUUUGGUUUUCUUUGCCUGCCUUUCGUACUGAUCUUGUCAUCUAAUGCUGCUAGAAAAGGAGAGAGAGGACCACCUGCUCAUUUCUUGAUUGGUAUUCCACAGAUGCCACAUAAAGACACUGUUCCUAGUAGGUAUCUGAGACAAUGGGGCAUGGAGUGUUGUCCUACAUACCAGUGCAAUUCCACAGACCAUUAACUGGUGUAGGUCAGAUUUGUUGGGUCUUUUGCCUCAAGAUAAUCCCAAUAACUUCACAGAUAACUGCAGGGUGCAGUUAUCACUGUGCUUAUAAGCCUUCUUGGUUGGUUUUUGAAGGGUUUGUUUGUUUGUUUAUUUUUGUGGGGUGAUGUAUCACCAGUGUUACCUUGAAGAAGAAAGAGAAUGAUUGUAGUCUCACAUGAGCCAGAAUGAGUAAAAGCUCACCCAGUUAUAAUGUACUCUAAGAUUUAUUGGAAUAAUCAAGAGCAGUGGGUAGGUAAUGAAGUGAAAGGUCCACACAUGGUAUUUGCCAUUAGUUUAUACAUAAGCCCCAAAAGUUUUACUGGUUGUAUCCAGAGAAGGCUGCAGGAGAUUUGCACACCAUAGUAAUUAUUGCAAUACUCAGCGUAUGUGAGACAUGGACCAUCAGAAGUGACCUCAAGAUCCCUGCUUGGCCUCUAACAGCACUAAAGCCCUUGAAAGUCAGUCAAUCCAGACUUUGAACUCUAAGAAGCAUGCUUAGCUUUCCUGAGAACUUCUUAAUGGUGCUUAGUCACUCACACUGCAGUCAGGAUCGACUGAGCCUUAGCCAAACAUUUCCUCGCCAUAAAUAGAAAGAAGCUUGGAAACAUUUCUGGACUAAUCUUAUUCAGGUUGUUCUACUGAAAUGUGUUGGAGAGGGCAGUGUAACCACAGCUCCAAGUAAGUUUUGGAAUCUUUCCUGCCUGCUGGGAAAUUGCUCAAGCUUUCUCGACUUAGAGCUGUUGCCAAAUAAACAUCUGUGAUUUUUUUUCCCCACAAUAAUCUGCACUGGUGACAAAUCCUGAGGAGGACUUCCAGCUACAGGUUUGGAGGCACUCCUGGAUACACCGAGUUUCAGGAAUCCCCUAGAGCCACCACAUACCAGAGGCCACCACGUACUUAGAAGAUUCAUGAGGCUGCUCUAUCUUUCACUUCUGGCCUCUGCAAAAUUUUGGAAAGUAACUCCUUUUCCUGCAUUUUUCUGUGAAAAAAACCAACCAAACCAAAAGUCCUGCAGCUGGAACGAGUCUAAUUACAGGAUGUUGUUAGUAUAUCUUUUAUAUAGUUUUCCAUUUUAUUUUUAGUAUGUUUUACCAUUUGUUUUGGCUUAAAUUAAUGAAGAUUUCCAUUGAUUAAUAAUGUAUUGUUGGAAAUACACUGAAGCAGAAGAAGUCUAAUGAUUGAACUUUGGAAAAUUUCUGGUUUUUUACAGAUACACUCUUCUUACUUUCGUAUUUCUUUCUGUAAUAAUGUAUUCACUUGUUGCAACAUAAUUGCUUUCUUUGCAGACACAAGCAUGUGUCUGCAAAGAAGGCAAGCAUUACGUACUGUCACCGCUAUGUAUAUCUUAUUUAUACUUUGAAAUAUAAAUGACUGCCUAAUAAUAAUGGAGCUAUUUUGCCUCUCUGAA